GUAGUAUUUUUUUUGGUUAGGAAUAGGAAAGAAUAAAAUAAAAUAAAACAAAAAUAAAUUAAAUACAUCUUCAGAUUUCACGAUGGACCUCCAUCUUCUUUCUCUCUAUCAUUCCACCGUUACUCUAUCUCCGUUUCAACCCAGCACCUCAAUCUCCAUUGAACCCUAAAUCCUUAGUUCCUUUGUUUCGACUCAAUACCUCCAUCUCCAUUGAACCCCAAAUCUCGUGAUUUCUCUCCCGACCCAGAAAGAACCCACCGUUGAACCCUAAAUUCUUGCUAUGAAUACCUCUGUUUCCCUCACGCCCUUCUUUUAUCGUAUGUGUUUUAGGUUGUUACGAGAAAGGCGAAGAAUCAACAUACCUUGAAAGGCUAGCUUUGGGGAAAUUCGUGUUGCUUUGCAGGAGCUCAAGGAAUAGGGUUUAUCUGUAUGCAGGCCAAAAUGGUUGAAUUAACUUUAAAGUUCCACAAAACAAGAUGAUUUGGUCAACAACUCUGGUAUAAUUGCACAUAGCCGGCGUCGUCAUGUAGGCAUUGUUAUAGGUCACACAUUUGCCAAGCACAAGUCAGGUUCUUCACACAAGAGGAAAAUGUUCAUCUUGAUCUUUCAAAUGCAAGCAGAAUUGAUAUGCAAAAACAUGGUUGGGAAGAACCUACAGUUGAUUCAAAGCAACAGUGAAUAAAAGGAGGACCUGGUACCUGUUCAAGAAUAUGUAGAAGCUAAGGAAGCUAUUCUAACCUGAUCAACUGAUGCAAAUGAGCCCUCGUGAGCUUUGGAAAGGUUACUCCAGAACAUAAGCAAGAAGUUGAGAAGUUUGAGUUGAUAAGAUAUUCAUGGGAUGAAUUUUUUGAAGUGGGACUUCUUGAAAACAUGAGAGAUACUGCUGACUUGGUUUGGAAAAUGGCAGAGGAGUGUGCUUAGGUUAAUUUUAGUUUGAUUGCUUUGGUGUUUUGAACUCAUCAGCUGGUUGCAGGAAAUGGUAUGCUGGGAGCUUACUGUACUUAGCACCUUUGUAUCAGCAUAAGUUAAUUUGUUUUGGUGGUGAGAGUUAUAUAUUCAGCUAGCUUCUUGAGAUCAUAGAACCUUUGUAUUAGCAUUAGCAUAAGUUUGUUUUGGUGGUGAGAGUUAUAUGUACUUAGCUUCUUGAAUAUUGUUUCAGCCCACAUAAAUCUUGUAUAUUAUUCAUGUUAUAUAUUGGAAAUAUUACUUUUUGUCCUC